rnacentral:rRNA from 1 species
CGCGGCCUAUCAGCUUGUUGGUGGGGUAAUGGCCUACCAAGGCGACGACGGGUAGCCGGCCUGAGAGGGCGACCGGCCACACUGGGACUGAGACACGGCCCAGACUCCUACGGGAGGCAGCAGUGGGGAAUAUUGCGCAAUGGGCGAAAGCCUGACGCAGCGACGCCGCGUGAGGGAUGACGGCCUUCGGGUUGUAAACCUCUUUCAGCAGGGAAGAAGCGAAAGUGGCGGUACCUGCAGAAGAAGCACCGGCUAACUACGUGCCAGCAGCCGCGGUAAUACGUAGGGUGCAAGCGUUGUCCGGAAUUAUUGGGCGUAAAGAGCUCGUAGGCGGUCUGUCGCGUCGGAUGUGAAAAUCCAGGGCUCAACCCUGGACCUGCAUUCGAUACGGGCAGACUAGAGUUCGGUAGGGGAGACUGGAAUUCCUGGUGUAGCGGUGAAAUGCGCAGAUAUCAGGAGGAACACCGGUGGCGAAGGCGGGUCUCUGGGCCGAAACUGACGCUGAGGAGCGAAAGCGUGGGGAGCGAACAGGAUUAGAUACCCUGGUAGUCCACGCCGUAAACGUUGGGCGCUAGGUGUGGGGAACCUUCCACGUUCUCCGUGCCGCAGCUAACGCAUUAAGCGCCCCGCCUGGGGAGUACGG